GGGCCUGUAGCCUAGCCAGGAUAGGGCGGCAGCCUUCUAAGCUGUCGGUCGCGGGUUCGAAUCCCGCCAGGCCCG
rnacentral:tRNA from 1 species